AUGGCCACUUAGCUUGCUCGAGAUUACACAGAACCAUGCCUCUGGUUUCCUGGUACAGUGCUCCGGCAGGUGACGGAUGCUCCUGGGUGACAUAUCACGGAUCUCUCUGAGGCAAGAUGGCUGACUAGGAACAGCUCCGGUCUGCAGCUCCCAGCGAGACCAACACAGAAGGCCGUCAUCCUUAAGCCAUAAAAUGCCCUGUAGAGGUGGAACAGGUCAGAAGACUGAAUGCUCAAGCUGCAUGUGGAGUUAACAUGGCAAUAACACAGAAUGUGAUGACAGCAGACUCUAGAAUCUCAUGACAUCAGUUUAUAUUAGAACUGUUCUGUAGCUCACCUUUCUCCGAAGUUGGAAUUCACAUGGCUGUGGAAUGUGUUUCUACCUUCACUGUUGGAGGAGUCAUCCAACAAAUCCAGGGGUGGGAAAACAGCUGGAUAAGGACAAUAACAUAUAUGACAGCUGUACAAUCCUUUACCUUGGACCAUCUCUCUCACCUUGGACCAUCUCUCUCACCAGCUGCCUUCCACACCCCUGUACUACUAACUCCUUCUUCUUUCACUUGAACAUUCUUUACCCCAGAUUUUUGCAUCCUUCAGUGAUACGGAAAAGCAAAUGUUAGAGACUUUGGCCUAAAGAUACAUUGAGAAGGGAAAAAAAGUUUAAUAAGUAGCAAAUGUCA
ensembl:lncRNA RMDN2-AS1 RMDN2 antisense RNA 1